GAUGAACGCUGGCGGCGUGCUUAAUACAUGCAAGUCGAGCGGACAGGUCUCUUUCGGGGGGUACUGGCGUGGCGAACGGGCGAGUAACAAGUGCGUAGCUUACCCAUGUAUUUGGGAUAACUUCCGUCAACUGGGGCUAACACAGGACAGGAGCUCCUGUUGCAUGGAUGGGGUUGUAAAGAUUCGGGGGUUGGGGAUGGCCUCGCGGCUUAUCAGCUUCUUGGUGGAGUAGUGGCUUACCAAGGCCUUGCCGGGUAGCCGGCCAGAGAGGGUGACCGGCGGCAUUGGGACUGAGAGGCGGCCCAGACACCUACGGGAGGGAGAAGGGGGGAAGAUUGAACGAGGGAUGGAAGCCUGGUGCAGCAACGCCGUGGGCGGGAUGACGGUGUUCGGGGUGUAAACCGAAUGCGCUAGUGACGAUGCUUUGUGUGACGGUAGUGAGUAAGGAAGCACCGGCUAACUACGUG
rnacentral:rRNA from 1 species